AGGUGUUACUUACAAACUGGCAAUGUGACAUUUGAGGAGAGACUUAAAGGAAGUGAAAGAGUAAGGAUGUGGGAAGAAAGUUCCAGGAAAAGAGAAUGAUCAGUACAAAGGCCCUGAGGAGGGAGUGUGUUUGGCAUGUUCAAGAAAACCAGCAAGGAGAUCCACAUGGGAAGCAGAAUAAGCCAGGAGACGAUGUCAGACAAGUCAAGAAAUAGAACCUUGCCAGAACCCUAGGAGCCCCUUUCCCAAAGGAAUUCCAACCCUCGUUGCUGUCCCGAAGAGAGAGAGAGAGAGAGC